AUCCUCGUGGAAGAAAAAUGGCGACCGUCAUUGCUGAGUUACUUUUGUGUAAAUUGUGUCGCCAUUCUAUAACGACUCCUUUUAACUAGAUAGUUAAUGAUCAAUGUAGCGAUAAACUUUACUGUUUGAAAAGAUCCACUCUAUCAUGAAGUUUACAAUUUGUGCGAUGCGUUUCAAUAAAUUGUGAUAAGUUUCGGAGCAAGCUGAUAAACUUUGCUGAGGUGCGCUCUUUGAAGAACAACCUACAUAUCGAAGGAUUUCUGGAAAUCAAGAUGCAAAUCAAAAGCGUGGAAGCCUUGAAGUCCUGGUUGACAACCCGUUUGGAAUCAGUUUGUGAUGCUGACCCAGCAGCUCUGGCCAAGUAUGUUGUUGCAUUGGUGAAAAAGGACAAGCCUGUGGAGGAACUCAAAGAUAUUUGUGUGGACCAGUUAGAAGUUUUUCUCUCCUCUGAAACUGCCAACUUUGUGAAUGUGCUAUUUGAAGCGCUGACCAAUUUUUCGUACAUGCCUCAACCAAUUGUGGAGCCAACUCCAGGAAUUGCUGUUCCCACCACACCCAAAGUAAUUCCCAUACAGCCAACUCCUAAUUCUACCACGCCACCAGAAAAACCAAGGAAAUCUUCCAUAUCAGAGGAUGUUUUAACACCAAGGGUGCUAGCAGAGUCUUCCGUGCUCGAUGAUGACGACAGAGAUUUCAAAAGAACAAGAAGAGCAACUGACUCCAGUGAGAGAAGCACAAGUGGACCCAGCUCUAUUGUGUCAAGCAGUGGGGAUCGAUCUCGCAAACGAAGGGCCGAUGAUGAUGUUCGAGGCAGAGGUGACUUCUCAAAGUUUCCAAAAGAGGAAGCUGUUGGGAUGAGGAGGGCUGAUUCUGAACCUAGAGACAAUGACAAUGCUACUUACCCUAUUCCUAGUGCGAUGCUGCGAGACAGAGGUACUAACAAGUACAUGGACAACCAGGACAGGCGGUCUGGUGGAAUGAACUCUCAUGAUGACUCGAGGGGAAGGCGUGGAAGUCCAUCGUGGGAUCGUCGAGGUGGGAGGAUGGGAAGAGGAAGGCCUUUUCGUGAUAGAUACAGAGAUGACAGGCUACGACACGGUGGACGAGAUGAACGUGAGAGGGGUGGAGCUAGAAAGUCUCGUUGCCAAGAUUAUGACGAAAAAGGAUUCUGUAUGCGUGGAGAGCUGUGUCCGUUUGAUCAUGGAAAUGACCCAGUUGUUGUCCAAGAUGUCCUCCCUCCAGGGAUGUUAGCCUUUCCAGGUGGCCAACCUAUACCUGGAACAACAUUACCAGGCAGUGCUGUUCCAAUACCUGGAAAUUAUCCACCUCCUCCAUCCUCCCAGCCCCCUCCUCCCGGUACCGUGGGGACAUUACCUAACGAUGCUCCAAAAUCUGAGGCAAACCAGGAAAGUCCUGAUACCACUGUACCUGUGAGUGGUCCUCGACCCCCAGCACCAUCUAGAAUGGUUCCUCAGCACAGCCAGGCCCCUGUUAUGCCACUACCCACUGUCCAUAUGAUACAGCGACCAAUGUUAGGAGGGCAGGUGCCUCGUCCUCCCUUUGCUAAUCCAUUUGAAGAUUCCUAUAAUCCAGAACAGCCUCAGUUUGAUAGGGCUCCUGUAUGGAUGAGACUUGGCAAUGGUCGUCCACCCCACCCCAUUCCACGGCCCCCUCAAGGAGUGUUCCAUCCUGUCAUGGGUAUGAGGUCAAGAGAGCUAUUGCCUGUCACGCCAAAUCCACCUCAGCUUACUGUACAAGUUCCUGGUAUGGCUGCUCCAGGACCCAGAAUGCCACCCAUACCAGACAGAAUAGUCAUCCACUCAGAUCCGCAGAAAAGUGCUCCUGUUCCACCUCAAAAACAACCGCCACCUCCACCGCCACCCUCAGCUUUACCCCAGCAGGGUGUAACACCGGCUCCUGGCCCUACAGAUCAGACUGCUCCAGUCAAGAGUCGAUUAGGAUUUCCAAGGAAACUCAGUGAUACACUAGAGUUGAAAAAGAUUCCGCGUGACAUGAACAAUAUUGCAAAAUUAAAUGAGCAUUUUCAGAGAUUUGGUACCAUCACAAACAUUCAGGUGUGUGCUUUUGGAGAUCCUGAAGCAGCACUGGUUCAGUUUUCACAUCACCAAGAAGCUAAGGCGGCGCACUCAUGUCCUGAUGCUGUGCUUGGUAACCGGUUCAUUAGGGUGUUUUGGCACAAUCCCGACAGGCAUCAAAACAAUAAAGAUGGGAAUUCAAAUCAAGGUACAACAGCAGGCAGUAACUCAGGAUCACACACACCUGGUGAACCAACACAAGAGAAUUCCAACAAGCCUGCUGAACCAAAGGCCAAACCAACCAUGUUCCAAAGUGGAAAAACAACUUUCUCAAAAACUGCAAAAGCUCCUGCUAUUCACAUACCAACAAACCCAGCACUGACUAAGAGACAACAAGAACUUCACAAACAGGAAGCAAUGAGAAAGAAGCUUGAGAUUCAGAAACAGAAACAAGAACUACUCAACAAACAAAUUCAAGAACAAAAGCUUUUAAUUUCUAAACUUGAAAAGAAGAAUUUAGGUACUGCAGAGAAAGAGUUGAUAGUAAAGACUAUAAAAUCGUUAAGUUCAAAUAUUGAGGCACUAAAGAAAGAGGUUGAGUUGGCAGCAAUGGCAGCAAAAUCCAAGGAAAGCCCUUCUCAGGCUAGACAGAUUGCCCAGAAAGCAAUACUCGAUCAAGAACUGGAUUUGAUUACACAUCAAAACACUGGGGAAGACACUACGGAACUGAAGAAAAAAGUUGAAGAACUCAAACAAGAGGCUAAAUCUCUGGGGUUAUUAGACCCACCAACAAAAGGGCGGGGCAGAGGUGUUGUAAGAGGACGAGGCAGAGGCACACCUCUAAGAAGCAGGCCUCUUCCAAGAAUGGCACGGGUUUGGACAAGAGAAAGUGCCUCGCUGGAUCACAGACCAAAACAGAUUACUGUGAGUGACAUCACACCAGAACAGAAGGAAGACAUGGCAGAGCAUUUUAAAGAAUUUGGAAUUGUUGACAAUGAAGAGUACAUUGAGGAAAAGAACACCCUUAACCUGACUUUUAGGACAAGAAAAGAAGCAGAAAUUGCCUACAAUAAAGGCAAAACAUUUAAAGGAAGGGCUCUGAAGAUUUCUUGGUACAGGACUCCAGCCUCUCCUUCUGGAGCCAUGCCUACCACUCCCACCACUCCAACGGUACUCAAGAAAGUUGAGGAGGAGCUUGGACUGGAUGUAGAUGAAUUGGGAAAACAUGAAUUUGACCCAGAGACAGAAGAGGCAUUGCUUCUCGGAGAAGACUUUGAUGAAGAAGAGGAAGAAGAUGAACGAUCAUGGAAAAGAUAGUCAUGGACACCUCCUAAGAGAAACAAGUCAAGACUAUAAUAAUAUUUGAGUUAUUGUAAAACAACCAUUGAUCUUUACCCUGUCAUAUUUUGCAGAAUAAUUAUUUGUGAGCCAAGCUUUCUGCCACAUACUGUAAUAAUAUCUGCAAUGUCAUGCAUGAUUGUGUUAAGGAAGCGAUCUGUCUUUAGAUUUUUACUGUCUGUAACAGUUUAUUAUAAUAUCAACUGUUUUCAUUUUAUUGUAUGUUAUGAUGAGUAGUUGUACAGCUAUGAAGUCUUAUGCAUAAAAGAAAAAAGUGAAUCCAAGGGAUUCUUGAAAAAAGAUGAUAUCCCAGAGGGAAAAAAGUGAAAAGAAGAGGUGAAAAGAAAAGAAAAAAAGAAUACAAAUGACUUCAGAUUGACAAGAAAAAAAUGUUUUUACACUUGAAAAUUAAAACAUACACAAAACAAAACAUGUCACAAAAGUCAAUGAUCAACAAGAGUUAUCGGCCACUCUUUGUGGUCACACAUUUGUGCACUGAUCACCUUCCUGGAGGACAGAGGACAAGCCACAAGCCACAGAAGCAAGCAGGUUCUGAAUGGUCUGCAUCACAGAGAACUAGAAAUGCUGCCAUUGCCUGAAGAAUCAUACGCUCUCUCAGGUCUGGCCCCUGAGCAUUCUUGUCUUCAGUGGAGGGGUGUAGGCUCCUUUCCCCAACAGCAGCCAGUAGUUGGGCCUAGAAAGAUCAUUUAUCAAGAGGACACUCGAAUACACCUGUAUAUGCAAGUUUUUCUUCAGCAAUCUUUGCCCAGUGGUGUAUGCAUGAAGAAAAUGAAUCAACUAUAUUUUACCUGUAUGGAUAU
rnacentral:misc_RNA from 1 species